rnacentral:rRNA from 1 species
AUUGAACGCUGGCGGCAGGCCUAACACAUGCAAGUCGGGCGAGCCGCGGACGGGUGUGUAAUGUAUGGGGAUCUGCCUGAUGGAGGGGGAUAACUACUGGAAACGGUAGCUAAUACCGCCUACCCUCAGAUGACCCCAUAUGGGAUUAGCUUGUAGGUGAGGUAACGGCUCACCUGGGCGACGAUCCCUAGCGGGUCUGAGAGGAUGAGCAGCCACACGUGGACUGAGACACGGCCCAGACUCCUACGGGAGGCAGCAGUGGGGAAUAGUGCACAAUGGGGGCAAGCCUGAUGCAGCCAUGCCGCGUGUAUGAAGAAGGCCUUCGGGUUGUAAAGUACGUGCAGUCGGGAGGCGUUACCGAAAGAAGAAGCACCGGCUAACUCCGUGCCAGCAGCCGCGGUAAUAC